GACGAAGGAUGCAAGCGUUAUCCGGAUUCAUUGGGUUUAAAGGGAGCGUAGGUGGCCUGAUAAGUCAGUGGUGAAAUCUCUCGGCUUAACCGAGAAAAUUGCCAUUGAUACUGUUAGGCUUGAGUAUAGUUGCCGUUGGCGGAAUAUGACAUGUAGUGGUGAAAUACAUAGAGAUGUCAUAGAACACCGAUUGCGAAGGCAGCUAACGAAACUAUAACUGACACUGAGGCUCGAAAGUGCGGGGAUCAAACAGG
rnacentral:rRNA from 1 species